GAUGAGAUAGCUAACUCGGUAAAGCGGCAGACUGUUAAUCUGUGAUAUUAGGGUUCAAAUCCCUAUCUCAUCGCCA
rnacentral:tRNA from 1 species